AUACGGAGGGUGCGAGCGUUGAUCGGAAUCAUUGGGCUUAAAGGGUACGUAGGCGGGCUUGAAAGUAUCUUGUGAAAUCCCACGGCUCAACCGUGGAACUGCGAGGUAAACUUCAAGUCUUGAGAUCGGUAGAGGUUGUCGGAACAAUAGGUGGAGCGGUGAAAUGCGUAGAUAUCUAUUGGAACGCCAAAGGAGAAGUCAGACAACUGGGCCGAAUCUGACGCUGAGGUACGAAAGCGUGGGUAGCGAACGGGAUUAGAAACCCUUGUAGUCC
rnacentral:rRNA from 1 species